GGGGGGGGGGGGGGGGGGGGGGAGGAGGGGCAGGUCGGGCGGGCGGGCGAGGGGCUGGCGGCUCGGGGGGGAGCGGCGGACGGGGGAGGAACACGGGGGUAACCUACCUAUAAGACUGGGAUAACUUCGGGACACCGGAGCUAAUACCGGAUAAUAUUUUGAACCGCAUGGUUCAAAAGUGAAAGACGGUCUUGCUGUCACUUAUAGAUGGAUCCGCGCUGCAUUAGCUAGUUGGUAAGGUAACGGCUUACCAAGGCCACGAUGCAUAGCCGACCUGAGAGGGUGAUCGGCCACACUGGAACUGAGACACGGUCCAGACUCCUACGGGGGGCAGCAGUAGGGAAUCUUCCGCAAUGGGCGAAAGCCUGACGGAGCAACGCCGCGUGAGUGAUGAAGGUCUUCGGAUCGUAAAACUCUGUUAUUAGGGAAGAACAUAUGUGUAAGUAACUGUGCACAUCUUGACGGUACCUAAUCAGAAAGCCACGGCUAACUACGUG
rnacentral:rRNA from 1 species